AGAGUUUGAUCAUGGCUCAGGACGAACGCUGGCGGCGUGCUUAACACAUGCAAGUCGCACGGGAGCAGCAAUGCUCUAGUGGCGAACGGGUGCGUAACACGUGAGAAAUCUGUCCAUCGGCGGGGGAUAGCCGGCCCAACGGCCGGGUAAUACCGCGUACGUCGGCGAGAACGCAUGUUCUUGCCGGGAAAGCAGCAAUGCACCGAUGGAGGAUCUCGCGGCCUAUCAGCUUGUUGGCGGGGUAAUGGCCCACCAAGGCAACGACGGGUAGCUGGUCUGAGAGGAUGAUCAGCCACAUUGGGACUGAGACACGGCCCAGACUCCUACGGGAGGCAGCAGUGGGGAAUAUUGCGCAAUGGGCGAAAGCCUGACGCAGCGACGCCGCGUGUGGGAUGAAGGCCUUCGGGUUGUAAACCACUGUCGGGGGGGACGAGAUCAAUGACGGUACCCCCAAAGGAAGCACCGGCUAACUCUGUGCCAGCAGCCGCGGUAAUACAGAGGGUGCGAGCGUUGUCCGGAAUUACUGGGCGUAAAGGGCGCGUAGGCGGCUUGAUAAGUAGGGGGUGAAAUUCCAUGGCUCAACCAUGGAUCGGCCUUCUAGACUGUCAGGCUUGAGCACGGUAGAGGCAGAUGGAAUUCCCGGUGUAGCGGUGGAAUGCGUAGAGAUCGGGAAGAACACCAGUGGCGAAGGCGGUCUGCU
rnacentral:rRNA from 1 species